rnacentral:rRNA from 1 species
UACAGAGGUCUCAAGCGUUGUUCGGAUUCAUUGGGCGUAAAGGGUGCGUAGGUGGCGGGGUUAGUCAGGUGUGAAAUCUCGGAGCUCAACUCCGAAACUGCACUUGAUACUGCCUUGCUAGAGUACUGGAGAGGAGAUUGGAAUUUACGGUGUAGCAGUGAAAUGCGUAGAUGUCGUAAGGAAGACCAGUGGCGAAGGCAGCCCCCUGGGCCAAUACUGACGCUCAGGCACGAAAGCGUGGGGAGCAAACAGG